CAUUGCUACCCACGUGCGCCUAGCUUAAGGAACCCGGGUCAAAAGGUGUGUGUGUGUUUGUGUGUGUGUGUUUGUAAUUCCCACUUAAGAAUGUGAGUGUUUGUCUUCUGUGUUCGUCCCACCUUAUCUGGCUCCGCCCCCUCCAGAGAGGGGCGUGGCUGUGAGUCAGGACUGUAGCAACCCCAACCCCUUUGUGCCGGGGGCACUCUGAGAAAUGCGCGUGUGCCAGAGAGCGCGUGGAUAAGAGUGUGCGUGCCGGUGCGUGUGUGUGCCUGUGUGUGUGUGUGUGUGCGUGUGGCCGUGCAGCCUAUUCUCUAAAUAACCUGUUGGUCCAGUCAUCUGGUGCUCAUUCUCCAGGAAAGAGGCUGGUCUCUCUUACUCUCUCUCUCUUACCCCCUCUCUCUUUCUCUCUCUCUCUCCUUCUCGCUCUUACCCCCUCUCUCUCUCUCAGUGUGGUCAUCUCUCCCCUCACUGAGCAGCCAGUGUUCCCUGAAGUGGUCAGGUCCCGGGACGCCUACGAUCUGUGCGGCUCCGUUCCUUUAUGUUCCCGCUCUCCGGCUCCCCGGGGAGAGGACCCAGCGACAGCAGCAGGAUCCAGUAGGCAGGAAGCUUCCAGAAUCAUCUCCAUGGUGACGCUGCCGCACCCGGCCUGACCAUGGACUGAAAGCCGGCCUCUGUCCCUCUGAGAGUGUGCACGUGUGUGCGUGUGCGUGUGCGUGUGUGUGGGGGGGGUCCAGGGAAGCCAUGUCUCUGAAGCGGACCGGGGCCCUGUUGCUGCUGUUCUUCUUCGUUGGUUCCGCCACGCAGGACAAAACGCCAGACACCCAUGUGACCUGCGUCAUCGCCGAGGACUGCUUCCUGCCCUGCUCCUUCCAGCCCUCCGGCCACGACGCCGUCGGCUGGUUCAGACAGGAAGUGGCGGUGCUCAGCUUCCUGUCGGCGGGCAGCGAGGAGGAAGAGGAGGAUGACGACGAGGACAAAGAGGAGGACGAGGGGGACGAGGACGAGGAGCGCGGGCAGCACUACGACGACCGGGCCAGUGUCUCCCCGGAGCAGGUCGCCCGCGGCAAC
ensembl:lncRNA